CCUACGGUGUGCUGCAGUGGGGAAUAUUGUGCAAUGGAGGCAACUCUGACCCAGCAACGCCGCGUGAAUGAUGAAGGUCUUCGGAUUGUAAAGUUCUUUUCUAAGGGAAGAACAAUGACGGUACCUGACUAAGAAGCACCGGCUAAAUACGUGCCAGCAGCCGCGGUAAUACGUAUGGUGCAAGCGUUAUCCGGAUUUACUGGGUGGAAAGGGAGCGCAGGCGGCGCGUUAAGCCUGGUGUGAAAGCCCGCGGCCCAACCGCGGGACUGCAUUGGGAACUGGCGCGCUGGAGUGCCGGAGGGGUAGGCGGAAUUCCUAGUGUAGCGGUGAAAUGCGUAGAUAUUAGGAGGAACACCAGUGGCGAAGGCGGCCUACUGGACGGUGACUGACGCUGAGGCUCGAAAGCGUGGGGAGCAAACAGGAUUAGAUACCCCUGUAGUC
rnacentral:rRNA from 1 species